UAGAAGAACCCCUGAUGCCGUCGAGCCAAGAAAAGUUUCUAAGUUUAGCUAAUGUUGCCCGUACCGUAAACCGACACAGGUGGGUGGGAUGAGUAUUCUAAGGCGCGUGGAAGAACUCUCUUUAAGGAACUCUGCAAAAUAGCACCGUAUCUUCGGUAUAAGGUGUGGUUAGCUUUGUAUUAGGAUUUACUCCGAAAGCAAGGAAACUUACAACAAAGAGUCCCUCCCGACUGUUUACCAAAAACACAGCACUCUGCUAACUCGUAAGAGGAUGUAUAGGGUGUGACGCCUGCCCGGUGCUCGAAGGUUAAUUGAUGGGGUUAGCAUUAGCGAAGCUCUUGAUCGAAGCCCGAGUAAACGGCGGCCGUAACUAUAACGGUCCUAAGGUAGCGAAAUUCCUUGUCGGUUAAAUACCGACCUGCAUGAAUGGCGUAACGAGAUGGGAGCUGUCUCAAAGAGGGAUCCAGUGAAAUUGUAGUGGAGGUGAAAAUUCCUCCUACCCGCGGCAAGACGGAAAGACCCCGUGGACCUUUACUACAGCUUGACACUGCUACUUGGAUAAGAAUGUGCAGGAUAGGUGGGAGGCUUUGAGUAUAUGACGCCAGUUGUAUAUGAGCCAUUGUUGAGAUACCACUCUUUCUUAUUUGGGUAGCUAACCAGCUUGAGUUAUCCUCAAGUGGGACAAUGUCUGGUGGGUAGUUUGACUGGGGCGGUCGCCUCCCAAAUAAUAACGGAGGCUUACAAAGGUUGGCUCAGAACGGUUGGAAAUCGUUCGUAGAGUAUAAAGGUAUAAGCCAGCUUAACUGCAAGACAUACAAGUCAAGCAGAGACGAAAGUCGGUCUUAGUGAUCCGGUGGUUCUGUGUGGAAGGGCCAUCGCUCAAAGGAUAAAAGGUACCCCGGGGAUAACAGGCUGAUCUCCCCCAAGAGCUCACAUCGACGGGGAGGUUUGGCACCUCGAUGUCGGCUCAUCGCAUCCUGGGGCUGGAGCAGGUCCCAAGGGUAUGGCUGUUCGCCAUUUAAAGCGGUACGCGAGCUGGGUUCAGAACGUCGUGAGACAGUUCGGUCCCUAUCUGCCGUGGGCGUAAGAAGAUUGAAGAGAUUUGACCCUAGUACGAGAGGACCGGGUUGAACAAACCACUGGUGUAGCUGUUGUUCUGCCAAGAGCAUCGCAGCGUAGCUAAGUUUGGAAAGGAUAAACGCUGAAAGCAUCUAAGCGUGAAGCCAACUCUAAGAUGAAUCUUCUCUAAGCUCUCUAGAAGACUACUAGUUUGAUAGGCUGGGUGUGUAAUGGAUGAAAGUCCUUUAGCUGACCAGUACUAAUAGAGCGUUUGGCUUAUCUUUAAUAAAGCAU
rnacentral:rRNA from 1 species